rnacentral:rRNA from 1 species
AUGCUCAUCAUCAUCAUUUCAGCAUCCUCAUCGUUCGAAUCCGACGAAUCGAUGAACUCUCUGUAUAUGAAUUCGCCAAGGUUUGUGUUUCCAUACACAUCAUUCGACGACGAAUUCAUUGAUGACCUACAAAUGACCAAAAGAACAAAAAAACGCUCGGACCUUUCAUCAAACACAGAGCACGAGGUGUAUGUACGAAGGAGUUGCAUGUACCGGGGAGGCGUCACGUGGCGGCGAACUUGUCCGUUGGCGGCACAGUUAGCGAUGUUGUGGGUUGGGAACAAUGGCAGUGGAGCUAUGGUGGCAGCUGUGCAGAUGAGGCAGAAAAGAGGAGAGGAAGAGGGCAAAUCGGGCCAGAACGGGGACGUCUUCAGGAGAUUUGGCGUGGACCCUACCGUCAGUCCGACGUGA